CACGUAGGGCGCAAGCGUUGUCCGGAAUUAUUGGGCGUAAAGAGCUCGUAGGCGGUCUGUUGCGUCCGCUGUGAAAACUCGGGGGCUUAACCCCGAGCCUGCAGUGGAUACGGGCAGACUAGAGGUAGGUAGGGGAGAAUGGAAUUCCCGGUGUAGCGGUGAAAUGCGCGGAUAUCGGGAGGAACACCGGUGGCGAAGGCGGUUUCUUGGCCUGUUCUUGACGCUGAGGCGCGAAAGCUGGGGGAGCAAACGGGG
rnacentral:rRNA from 1 species